rnacentral:rRNA from 1 species
AUUGAACGCUAGCGGGAUGCCUUACACAUGCAAGUCGAACGGAGUGGCGAACGGGGGAGGAAGGUAACGGAACGUGCCCAGUCGCGGGGGAUAACUACGACAAAGCGUAGCUAAUACCGCUAACUAUUGGAGCGGCCGGUAUCGGAUUAGCUUGUGGGUGGGGUAACGGCGCACCAAGGCGACGAUCCGUAGCUGGUUUGAGAGGACGACCAGCCACACUGGGACUGAGACACGGCCCAGACUCCUACGGGAGGCAGCAGUGGGGAAUAUUGGACAAGGGGCGAAACCCUGAUGCAGCCAUCCCGCGUGUGUGAUGAAGGCCUUCGGGUUGUAAAGCACUUUCAGCAGGAAAGCGGUACCUGCAGAAGAAGCACCGGCUAACUACGUGCCAGCAGCCGCGGUAAUUC